UCCCUGGUGGCUUAGAUGGUAAAGAACCUGCCUGCAAUGCAGGAGACCUGGGUUUGAUCCCUGGUUUGAGGA
rfam:Ovis aries breed Texel chromosome 15, whole genome shotgun sequence.